CCUACGGGUGGCUGCAGUGGGGAAUAUUGCACAAUGGGCGCAAGCCUGAUGCAGCCAUGCCGCGUGUGUGAAGAAGGCCUUCGGGUUGUAAAGCACUUUCAGCGGGGAGGAAGGCGUUAAGGUUAAUAACCUUGGCGAUUGACGUUACCCGCAGAAGAAGCACCGGCUAACUCCGUGCCAGCAGCCGCGGUAAUACGGAGGGCGCAAGCGUCAAUCGGAAUUACUGGGCGUAAAGCGCACGCAGGCGGUCUGUCAAGUCGGAUGUGAAAUCCCCGGGCUCAACCUGGGAACUGCAUUCGAAACUGGCAGGCUAGAGUCUUGUAGAGGGGGGUAGAAUUCCAGGUGUAGCGGUGAAAUGCGUAGAGAUCUGGAGGAAUACCGGUGGCGAAGGCGGCCCCCUGGACAAAGACUGACGCUCAGGUGCGAAAGCGUGGGGAGCAAACAGGAUUAGAUACCCGGGUAGUC
rnacentral:rRNA from 1 species